GUAGCCCAGGCUAGUCUUCAACUUAGUAGGUAGCUGAAGGUGACCUUGUACUCUUCUACAGAUACUCUGGUUCUGGCACAGGCUAAGAGGCUCAUCUGGGGUCCGCAGCAAUCAGACGAUCGGUAGGCUGCCCCACCCGGUCACUUCCGAAGCGACGACCCUGCAGAGGAGUGCACUGGGGAUUUGUAACAAGGGCCUUGGACCAGUCAGAUGGGUGGGGCCGUCUCUAGAGCGAGCUUAGAGGGGAAAAAAAAAAUAAAAGAAGGCAGGUGGCUCUUAGGAAGCCUUAAAAGUAUCCCCUUCCCCUUCCUCUGCCCUGGCCAGGCUUCCUGCGAAGGAGACACCCCCAUGCUGAUGGCAUCAGCCUUGGUCAGGCUGGAGUCGCCUUAACCCAACUCUACCAGGCGAGGGCGCCCUGCACCCAGCUUUGGCUUCAGUUCGCGGCAAAUCCCUCUCAUGCAGAGUGCAGUUUGGACAGCCGGGAACAUUAAACCCCGCACUGCCUUGUAUGGCCCUUCCCAUAGAAAGAAAUGGAGGGUAGGAAAGGGAAGAGGGACUUUCCUUGUAAGUGGUCUUUAAACUUGUUCUGAACGAACUUAGCCCAGAGCCAGGCGCUAGUUGUGAUGUAGCUGAAGUUGUCAUUUGUUGGGUACAACUUCGCUCACCACCGUUUUGUUUUGUUUUUUCUUUUUUGACAAAGGAUCUCACUGUGUAGGUUGGCUGUCCUGGAAUUGGCUAUGGUGUAAACCAGGCUGGCCUCGAACUCUCAGAGAUCUGCCUGCCCCACCUGCCUCUGCCUCUCAAGUGCUGAGUUUAAAGGCAUGUAUCACCAGACUCUGCCAUUCUCCACUAUUCUAAACUCUUCAAUAUGUUUGUAAGGUGCCUUCAUACCCAUUUAUAGAUGAACAACUGAGGCCCACAGUGGUGAUUUGCUCACAAGUAAGAAGCACACACAGGGGCUGGAGAGAUGGCUCAGUGGUUAAGAGCACUGGCUGCUCUUCCAGAGAUCCUGAGUUCAGUUCCCAGCAACCUACAUGGUGGCUCACAACCCACCUAUAACUGUAGUCCCAUGGGAUCCGAUGCUCUGUUCUGGUGUGCACAUGUACAUGCAGACAAAACACCAUAUACAUAAAAUAUGCAAACAAAGAAGCACCCAGGAAGCCAGGCAUGGUGGUGCACACCUUUAAUCCCAGCACUCAGAGGCAGUCUCUGAGUUCGAGGCCAGCCUGGUCAACAGAGCCAGUUCCAGGACUACACAGAGAGAAACCCUGUCUCCACAAAUCAAAAUUAAUUAAUUAAUUAACUAAAACAAUAAAAGAGGUGCCCAUGCUGUUUGACCCCAGAAUCCCAGCUAGCAUCACACCACAAACUUUUUAUUUGAAACUGCCAGAUGUGAAGACACAAAAGGAACAGGAAGGACCAAGUCCCUGUUCCCUGGACAUUUAACAAACGCGUGUGCUUACACACAAGAACACUCCUACAAAACUCCCUCACACAUUCAUAAACAAGGUUAGGCAAGGGUCCACCCCUUGCAAUCAGCCUGUUUGGUGUGCUUUGUUUUGAUGUGGUGUGUGUGGUACACGUGUAUGUAUGUGAUGUGUGCGUCUAUGUGGCUAUCUGUGUGUGUCACGUGUGUGGAGGCCAGAGGGGGCUAUGGAACAUCUUAUUUUAGCUCUCUCUGUCUUAUUCCCUUGAGACAGGGUCUCACCUGGAGCCCCCUCACACACACACACACACACACACACACACACACACACACACACACACACCCUUUUCUAGCUUGCCUGGCUAGCAAGCCCUAGCAAUCCUCUCCAUGUCUUACCACUUCCUCUGUGUUGCUUUGGAUUCUCACACAUGUAUAUACUCUCUCUCUACACCCGGCACUAAGGCUGAUGCUGACGGGCAUCAUCUCUACAUUCUUAAGACUCAUAUGAGUACCCCCAGUGCCUCUUUUAUUCAGUGUCACCAGGGAAAUUGCUGAUCUGCCAAAGAACUUUCCAGUAAGUGAGACUUGCCUCUAAGGCCGUAUCGUUGGGUGGGGUUGGCAGUUUUGAGAAAUGUCUUGUACACACCUCCGGAUGCCUCACUCAGGUCUGAACUCCUUCAGACCAGAACCCAAAGCCUUGGGAACAUCUCUUCAUCACAGCAGAGCCUGACCACGACAGCUACCUGGUCAAGACUUGUAGACAGGAAUAGAUGACACAAAGGCUGAGCAGAGGUCAUAGCAAGGUGGCUCUUGGGAUGUUGUCCCCAUGGUUGUUUUCUGAUGUGGUGGACAAAUCAGCUACCAUAGCUUCCCUCUUUGAUGAUUGAUAUAUAAGGUCUCCAGGCCAACGUCUGCCCCCACCCUUCGUAUGCAAGCAUAAAUCCCUCACCAGCGUUCUCUCUGUGGCCCAGAAUCAUCUUGAUGAACACAAGUUGGCACUCUCAUUUGCUUGGUACCAAUGGAGCUCUUUGCUCUGUACCAGAUGUCCCCACAUUGCAGAACUUUCUGAACACUUGUGUUAGUGAUGAUCUGCCUCUUCUUGUCAGCUGUCACUCUUAUUAUGGUGAGUCCCCUCUCAUUUCCUGCUCCCCUCCUGACAAAAGUGAGCCUCCCCAGUCAAAUGUCAAGAUAAGAUGAGGAGAGACUGCAUGGGGAACCCCUGCUAUUGACAAUUUCCAGGAACUAAAAUGAAGCUUGGGACAGAAGCUUGUGUACGCUACCCCUACACCUUGAGUGUGGACUUCAAGUCUCAAGAAAUGUGAAGGGACUGGGCGGUGGUGGAGCAUGCCUUUAAUCCCAGCACUCAGGAUUAAAGAGGCAGAGGCGGGUGGAUCUCUGUGAGUUUGAGGCCAGCCUGGUCUACAGAGCAAGUUCUAGUUCAGCUAAGGCUACACAAAGAAACCCUGUCUUGAAAGAGAGAGAGAGAGAGAGAGAGAGAGAGAGAGAGAGAGAGAGAGAGAGAGAAACUUCUGCUGUUUUAAGUCACCAGAGUUGUGGUCUUUAUUUCAGCAGCCCUAGAAAUCUAGCACUCCUGGGAAGUGGGAGAGAUGUGGUAGACAAAGUGGAAGUCUAACAGGUGACUGGUGACUCAGGAUCCCUUGUGCCAUCCCCCUGCCCCCACUUCCCAGAAAGAAAGCUAAGGUGAUGGGGGCCUGCAGUGAGACUUUCUAUGUCAUGCCAAACUCUACCCCAGGGACUCCAGAGCCCAGGGCUGUGAAUCACCCAUGAGCUGUGGUUUUGUUUUAAGCAACUGUGAGGAAGCGUCGUAGGGCAGCACUCGAAGAUGAGGUCAAUCUCCAGGGAGGCAAAUCAGCCAGGCUGGUGCCAGGUAGCUGCUCUUGGGGGUGCACACCUGGCACUCAGCCCACACAGGGUACCUGAGUGCCUAAUUGUUGCUUCUUUCAGAAGUGAAGACCCAAGCAUGGACCUGGAGGAACAAGGAGAAGGAAGUGAGCCCGGGGUGUGUCCUCUGAGGCGAAAAUGAGAAAAGCUGUCAAAUGGGGAAAGGCUAGCAGAAGGCUGUAGAGAAGGAUCCUGAGAGGACUUUUCAGAAGACCUGGAUCCUGAAAUUCAAACAUCGACAGUCUCAUAAAUCCGGGCAUCCAGGAAGAUGCUCACAGCCUCUUCACAAGUGGCCAGAGCUAGGAUCAUACAUUGUACGGAAGACAAAACUGCCGUCUGAGCAUGCCUGUGUACUUCUCUUUCUUGGCUGUGCUAGGGAUGGAAUACAGGGCUUUGCACAUGCUAGUCCAGAUGGGCUGAGUCAGCCUGUUGGGUGACCCAGGCCUGCCCUAGGGGAGGGAGGAAGCCACACAACUGAGUCCUUUGAGCCUCUCCCCUGGCCAGAGGGCAUCAGCAAUUGGAAAGGAGCCCAGCUUUAUGGACAAACAAUGGUGCCAGCCAGCUGCGGGUGAAGCAGGGCUGAACAGCCUGGCCUGAUUUGGUGAGUGUCCAGAAGGGUGCCCCUCAUACCUGAAGGGUCCACUUCACUUGGAGACAAACAUCCACCAAUCAGGGAUAGUUCUCAAAGCGCUUUGGCAAGGGCUGAGGAGAGUCGGGGAAUGUGGAGAGGGAAUCCCUCAGCAUUCCUGGUAACAGUUCUAAGCAUGAAAUCCCCAAUCGGAAUUGAACUAUUCUGGCACAUGGAUGAGAAAACAAAGGCUCCCUAAGGGACUGAAAGUUGUUUGAGGGCCCAUAGUAAAUUAACCACAAAACUGGAGCUAAACUCCAGGUUCCCUUUGACACAGCAAGUCCACACCAUAAAGUGAUGUUUGCACAACUUUUUA